GGGGGAAGGCAAGAUCCAGCAGAAACUGUGGACUCUUCUCAGUUAGUUGCACCCACUUUAUAGGCCACAAAAUCUGGUGUUGGGCCCCAGCCUGAGAGAGAUUUGCAGUCUUUACAGACUCUCUACAAGAAGCCUAGGGGCAUAGAGCAGAACCCAGGGAAAAGAGUCAUCUUUACACAGAAAAGACAGCCCAGCCUUAAGGAAGUGCUGUGAUGGGGUUGGUGUGCUACUAACCCUGCACCGGGCAAAAAGAGUUAAGGGGUUGCCGCAGUCCUGAGCAGCCCCACUUGAUCACACCUGCAAGGCAUAGCAGGACUGGAGGAAGAAUUCAAAUGAGAAGAAGCUCAGUUUGCUAAGAAGCAGCUGUGUAUUUCCUAGGAGAGGAGAGCUGUCUGAGGGUAGGACUUGCUUACAGUGCUGGGGAGUGUCUGAACUGUCUGAGGUGAAGGUGUUCCUGCAACUUGACCUCAGGCCACUUGCUGGAGCACUCUAAAACUGAGCUCUUCUGGGAUGUUCUCUGCAAACAACUUGAAAGUAUCAAAGUUACUGCAAGGAAGUAGAGGCUGGUGGAAGCUGUUGUCCUGAGAUCAGAGGUGUGCACUUUGCUACUUGUGCAGGGCUCCGCAUGUCAGACGAGGAACACCGACAAGAGAAGCCCGUGAGGUUUGUAAGCUGUGCCUAUAUACAGCUGGGGCCAGCAGGUGACGUCGCAGACUAUCACUGGCCGGCCAGGAUAAAAGCCGGCGCCAGCUGAGAGCGGGAGAGGCAGCGGAGGUUGCGGAUGCUCUCCAUGUUGGCAGCAGUCAGCACCAGCAAGGGCAGGGAAGCCCCGAUCGGGCAGAGAUUCCCAGGUAGUAGCGGCUGCAGGAAAACUCCACACUAGUCACAGGCAACACUGGUGUGAGGAAGUGACUGUGCUCUAGGAAGAGCAGGGAGAAGAACUGGAGAUGAUUGAUACUCUCCACACCGGGCACUAACAGACUGGGUUGUGGGAGAAGGACCAACUUAGAGAAAGAAGUAUAAGAAGCUCUCAGCAGGGAUAGAGAGCAGAGCAGCCUCGUGGGACACAGACAGGCGCAUGCUCUAGGACUGGGCAAGUAUAAUAGGCAGUCCAGCCUGAUCUUUUCUUUUUGUGCCUGCCUUUUUCUUUAUGUCCUUUCUUUUCAUUUUCCCCCUGACCUGUGUACUCCUUGGUUGUCUUCUGCUUUGUUUUGUUAUCUUGUUGUAUUUUCUAAGUAAUCCUAUGUUGAGGGGUCCAAGCAACAGCUGGACGACGGUCUGCUUGCAAGAGUCGACAGGCAUCCAGCAUUGAUCAGGAGACACCUGCAGGAGAGAGGAACAUCCAGCAGACCCAUAGUCCACUAGGAAAAGGAGAGACCUGAUACUAGAGAUCGUGUGGCAGAUGAGGAUCAUCAAGACCGGAGGGCCGGCCACAUUGAGAUCAGGUAGCCUGCCAGAGGCUGGCAUAUGGAAGGGGCAUAGGGGAGGUGGAGCCCUGUGAACAUUCAUCAGGAAGAAUGACCAACCUUGAGGGACCUUUAACGGGAGACCCCACCACUGAAGAAACACUCAGUCAUGGCAGGCAAGUUCUGGGGUCCUCCCCAAGGUGAUCGGGGCCCCUGUCAUAGGUUGCAUGAAGCCUCCCUGCACCUAUCAUCAGGUGCCCGUGCCAAGGCAGCGCGUGGAUGGAUACUAGAGGCGAGGUGGGCACAGCUGGUAUCCAAACAGCUUGUUAUUUAGUGGGGGGAAGUAAAGGCAAACAGUUCUGGUGACAUUCCUAAUGGCAGAAACGGGUACUAUAUACAUGAUGGGCUCAGUUCAUCCUUUGUACAAUUUCACUGAUUUGUGCAAGAUUCUCCCAAUGAUGAAUUUGGUUUGCUACAACUUAAAUUAGGUUAUUAAUCAGCUGCAAGGAACAGCUGGCUCUGCAAAACUGAAGCCUUUGAUGUCAAUGGGGCUACCAUUUUGUUUCCAGUUCUUUAGCAUAUCAAUACAGCUGAAUAGCAGGCUGCAUAUUUUAUUGAUUUCUUGGUCUGUAACAAACUUAGAAACAUGCCUUGCUGCAGGUGGAAGCAUUGUCUGACUGAAAUAAAUAACACUGUGUG